rnacentral:rRNA from 1 species
AUAACCCUACGGGAGGCAGCAGUGGGGAAUAUUGCACAAUGGGCGCAAGCCUGAUGCAGCGACGCCGCGUGCGGGAUGGAGGCCUUCGGGUUGUAAACCGCUUUUGUUCAAGGGCAAGGCACGGUCUUUGGCUGUGUUGAGUGGAUUGUUCGAAUAAGCACCGGCUAACUACGUGCCAGCAGCCGCGGUAAUACGUAGGGUGCAAGCGUUAUCCGGAUUUAUUGGGCGUAAAGGGCGCGUAGGCGGUUCGUCGCGUCCGGUGUGAAAGUCCAUCGCUUGA